rnacentral:tRNA from 1 species
AACUAUGAUUAACUUCAUAAUUACCAA